rnacentral:rRNA from 1 species
UACGAAGGGGGCUAGCGUUGCUCGGAAUCACUGGGCGUAAAGCGCACGUAGGCGGCUUUCUAAGUCAGGGGUGAAAUCCUGGAGCUCAACUCCAGAACUGCCUUUGAUACUGGAGAGCUUGAGUCCGGAAGAGGUGAGUGGAACUCCGAGUGUAGAGGUGAAAUUCGUAGAUAUUCGGAAGAACACCAGUGGCGAAGGCGGCUCACGUGUCCGGUACUGACGCUGAUGUGCGAAAGCGUGGGGAGCAAACAGG